ACUUUUUUAAAGAACGUGGAGCGAACAUCACCGCAUUGGAAACGAUUAAAAAAAUAUAUAUAAAAAUGUGAAUCUGUGAUUACUAGGCGCUGCGUUAAAGCGCUGGCAUUUGUGAAUUGAAACAAAAUGGCCUCUUAUGCUCAACACGUGUUUUCUGGCAGAGUUGGAGAGAGACAGACGAUCGGUCUUUCGAUUUGGAUUCGGAAUAUAAAUGAGGUUAUCAGCGUGAAAUGUUCAUUGCAACGUCAAUAUCAUGUAUCAAACGUGGCUCACUAACACAGUGAAAAAGUGUUCAAGAAAACCACCUUUGAUUGUCGCGUCAUAUGCCCAAACAAGGAUCUCUCCUUUGAAAAGAUGUGAAACAUGCGUAGCAAAAUGAAUCCGUCAAUGGUUCAUUUAUAAAUUCCAAUAUCUAAAAAGGUUGGCAACCUUGGAUGAACACAAUUUGUAUCUUGUGGAAUCACGAAUAAAUAAAAUUCAUAUGUGUUCUU
ensembl:ncRNA Uhg4 U snoRNA host gene 4